rnacentral:rRNA from 1 species
UACGAAGGGGGCUAGCGUUGUUCGGAUUUACUGGGCGUAAAGCGCGCGUAGGCGGAUCGUUAAGUCGGGGGUGAAAUCCUGGAGCUCAACUCCAGAACUGCCUUCGAUACUGGCGAUCUCGAGUCCGGAAGAGGUGAGUGGAACUCCUAGUGUAGAGGUGGAAUUCGUAGAUAUUAGGAAGAACACCAGUGGGCGAAGGCGGCUCACUGGUCCGGUACUGACGCUGAUGAUGCGGAAAGCGUGGGGAGCAAAACAGG